rnacentral:rRNA from 1 species
GAUGAACGCUAGCGGCAGGCCUAACACAUGCAAGUCGAGGGGCAUCACGAGGUAGCAAUACUUUGGUGGCGACCGGCGCACGGGUGCGUAACGCGUAUGUAACCUACCUAUAACAGGGGCAUAACACUGAGAAAUUGGUACUAAUUCCCCAUAAUAUUCGGAGAGGCAUCUCUCCGGGUUGAAAACUCCGGUGGUUAUAGAUGGACAUGCGUUGUAUUAGCUAGUUGGUGAGGUAACGGCUCACCAAGGCAACGAUACAUAGGGGGACUGAGAGGUUAACCCCCCACACUGGUACUGAGACACGGACCAGACUCCUACGGGGGGCAGCAGUGAGGAAUAUUGGUCAAUGGACGCAAGUCUGAACCAGCCAUGCCGCGUGCAGGAAGACGGCUCUAUGAGUUGUAAACUGCUUUUGUACGAGGGUAAACUCACCUACGUGUAGGUGACUGAAAGUAUCGUACGAAUAAGGAUCGGCUA